rnacentral:miRNA from 1 species
UGUCUGCUCGAUGUCAGGUUG